AGACCAUGUUGUGGGAAUCGCCUCAAAAGAUCUUUAUACCUUGCCCAAGCUUCGUAUAAUAUUUCCCUAUCUUGUUGAGUAAAAGAAGCUAUGUCAUGUUGAAGUUU